GCAAUCCUACGGGGCGCAGCAGUGGGGAAUAUUGGGCAAUGGGCGCAAGCCUGACCCAGCAACGCCGCGUGAAGGAAGAAGGCUUUCGGGUUGUAAACUUCUUUUAAGAGGGAAGAGUAGAAGACGGUACCUCUUGAAUAAGCCACGGCUAACUACGUGCCAGCAGCCGCGGUAAUACGUAGGUGGCAAGCGUUGUCCGGAUUUACUGGGUGUAAAGGGCGUGUAGCCGGGUUGACAAGUCAGAUGUGAAAUCCUGCGGCUUAACCGCAGAACUGCAUUUGAAACUG
rnacentral:rRNA from 1 species